GCCCGUGUGGCUCAGUGGGCAGAGCGUCGGCCUGCGGACUGAAGGAUCCUGGAUUCGAUUCCAGUCAAGGGCA
rfam:Myotis davidii contig160210, whole genome shotgun sequence.